rnacentral:rRNA from 1 species
GACGAACGCUGGCGGCGUGCUUAACACAUGCAAGUCGAGCGGUAAGGCCUUUCGGGGUACACGAGCGGCGAACGGGUGAGUAACACGUGGGUGAUCUGCCCUGCACUUCGGGAUAAGCCUGGGAAACUGGGUCUAAUACCGGAUAUGACCUCCUAUCGCAUGGUGGGUGGUGGAAAGAUUUAUCGGUGCAGGAUGGGCCCGCGGCCUAUCAGCUUGUUGGUGGGGUAAUGGCCUACCAAGGCGACGACGGGUAGCCGACCUGAGAGGGUGACCGGCCACACUGGGACUGAGACACGGCCCAGACUCCUACGGGAGGCAGCAGUGGGGAAUAUUGCACAAUGGGCGAAAGCCUGAUGCAGCGACGCCGCGUGAGGGAUGACGGCCUUCGGGUUGUAAACAUCUUUCAGCAGGGACGAAGCGCAAGUGACGGUACCUGCAGAAGAAGCACCGGCUAACUACGUG